GGAUGAGGUACUCAUUGACAAGAUGAACGAAGCAGCCAGUGUUGAGUCAGAGAGACAGUCCAAGCAGAGAAAGAACAUCACUGGCAAAGGGCCAAAAGUGAAUGAGCUACGAACAGACAUGAGAGAUAGUCAGUGUCAGGAUGUAGCUGAGGCUAGAGUCGGAAAUCGAGAGCAAUCAGCUGAAGUUAUGAAGCCUAAAAGCCGUAAAGCACCUGUUUUAGCUAAAGAGGGAGAAUCGGAGCUUUAUGAGACAGUCAAGUUGCUUAGAGAAGAAAUGGCUGAAAUCAGGAAAAGCUUAGCUAACCCCAAGGGACCUGCCCACCAAACUAAAACAAGUGCUAAGAGAGGAUGUGGGGUGUGUAAAGAGCAAGGAUUAGGUGACUCGUGUGGACACUGUUUCAAGUGUGGACAGUCAGGGCAUUUUUCUAGAGGCUGUAGAAGACAAAGAUUGGUAGAGAGAUCUGACAGCAUGAGGGUGACAAUGCAGACUGCCGGGCCCCAGACACCAUCAACAUUGAGCCAACCAGGAACGGAUGACCGGGUGCACGGACUUCUAUGUGACCGCAUCAGGCAGCUGGAGGCGGAGCUUGAGAGGGGUCGGGAGGCCCGACAGACAGUGAGUGCCACUUAUGCCAGCCAUCUCUCCUUACAUCGUCAAGCUAAGCUUAAGGCUCUCAUUGGAAAAAAAUGCAUCGUGAAUUGUUUCUUUGAUGGAGUAGCAACAACCGCCCUGUGGGACACGGGUUCACAAGUAACCAUCAUCAAUGAGAGUUGGAGGAGAUCCUGCCUUUCACACACCACACUUCGCAGCAUGGAUGAGCUUCUUGAAGAGAAUGAGACUCUUGUUGGUAGAGCUGCAAACCAGACACCCAUACCUUUUGCAGGCUGGGUUGAACUGACAUUUGAGCUAGGGUCAAACAGAGGUCCACGGCCAGAGCUACAUGUGCCAGUCCUAGUCUCCAACGAGCCAGGGGUAGCAGAGCCACCAAUUAUUGGCUAUAAUGUCAUUGAGCUCAUCGUGAAGAAUGGGAUGGAGCAGCACCCAGAAGUUACACCUGCUGUUGUGAGUGAUGCUUUCUCCAUCGACUGUAAG
rnacentral:lncRNA from 1 species